rnacentral:rRNA from 1 species
AAGAGCCGCAGUAUACUGACUGUGCAAAGGUAGCAAAAUAAUUUGUUUCUUAAUUAGAAACCGGAAUGAAUGGUCUGACGAGGAAAUAUCUAUCUACAAAUUAAGUAGAAAUUAACAUCUAAGUCAAAAGGCUUAAAUAUUUCAACAAGACGACAAGACCCUAUAAAACUUUACCUUUUAGGUAACAUACUUAGAAAAAAACCACAAAAGGGUUUAACUGGGGCGGUAUUUAUACAAUUUAUAACUAUACUAAUAUAACCAUAUAUUUAUGAAACAAUAAAUCUUAUAUAAAACAUAAAAACAAGUUACUUUAGGGAUAACAGCACAAUACUU